AUUUAUGGCCACACUAUCCUGAACGUGUCUGAUCUUAUCUGAUCUCUUAAGCUAAGCAGGGUCAGGCCUGGUUAGUACUUGGAUGGGAGACCACUGGGAAUAUCUGGUGCUAUAAAGG
rnacentral:rRNA from 1 species